GGAUGUGAGGGUAAUCUGGCUGUGAUGUUUGUCAUCCUAUUGAUAUCCAGGGUUUAUUUGGCUGAUCUGGCUGGCUAGGUAGGUGUCCCCUUCCUCCCUCACCAGGCCAUGUGCAUCCCUCCUGAAGAAGCUGCACAACCUUCCCCAAAUAGAGAUGGGUAAGUCUUCAGUCUACAUAUACAAGUAGCUGAGCUCUCCUGCUAGAACCUCCAAACAAGCUCUCAAGAUACACUGUUAGUUUUUACACAGAGGACAAUCACAAUAGAAAGCAAGGAACAGAGAUUUACAGAAAGUAAAAGAGAAAUC
ensembl:misc_RNA 7SK 7SK RNA